AGUGAACGCUGGCGGUAGGCCUAACACAUGCAAGUCGAACGGCAGCACAGUAAGAGCUUGCUCUUACGGGUGGCGAGUGGCGGACGGGUGAGGAAUACAUCGGAAUCUACUUUUUCGUGGGGGAUAACGUAGGGAAACUUACGCUAAUACCGCAUACGACCUACGGGUGAAAGCAGGGGAUCUUCGGACCUUGCGCGAUUGAAUGAGCCGAUGUCGGAUUCGCUAGUUGGCGGGUAAAGGCCCACCAAGGCGACGAUCCGUAGCUGGUCUGAGAGGAUGAUCAGCCACACUGGAACUGAGACACGGUCCAGACUCCUACGGGAGGCAGCAGUGGGGAAUAUUGGACAAUGGGCGCAAGCCUGAUCCAGCCAUACCGCGUGGGUGAAGAAGGCCUUCGGGUUGUAAAGCCCUUUUGUUGGGAAAGAAAAGCAGCAGGUUAAUACCCCGCUGUUCUGACGGUACCCAAAGAAUAAGCACCGGCUAACUUCGUG
rnacentral:rRNA from 1 species